rnacentral:rRNA from 17 species
GUGUAAGUAUAAAUAAUUCUACUUUGAAACUGCGAAUGGCUCAUUAUAUCAGUUAUAGUUUAUUAGAAAUAGUGUACUACUUGGAUAACCGUAGUAAUUCUAGGGCUAAUACAUGAGUAAAUCCUCGACUUUUGAAGAGGUGUGUUUAUUAGUAUGAAAACCAUAUGCUUUUGCAUGAUAGUGAGUAAUAAUAACCUUUCAUAUCGCCUGUUUUAAAUAGCGAUAGUUCUUUCAAGUUUCUGCCCUAUCAGCUUUCGAUGGUAGUGUAUUGGACUACCAUGGCAGUAACGGGUAACGAAGAAUUUGGGUUCGAUUUCGGAGAGGGAGCCUGAGAGAUGGCUACCACAUCCAAGGAAGGCAGCAGGCGCGUAAAUUACCCAAUCCUGACAUAGGGAGGUAGUGACAAUAAAUCACAAUGCGGGACUAUUUAGUUUUGCAAUUGAAUUGAGAACAAUGUACAAGAGUUAUCGAUAAACAAUUGGAGGGCAAGUCUGGUGCCAGCAGCCGCGGUAAUUCCAGCUCCAAUAGCGUAUAUUAACGUUGUUGCAGUUAAAAAGCUC